GGUGUGUGCAUGCCCGUUCUUAGUUGGUGAAGUGAUCUGUCUGGUUAAUUCCGUUAACGAGCGAGACCUGGGCGUGCUAGCUAGGCGACAGUACCGUUUUUUGGUAUUGCCUUCGCCUUCCUAGACGGACUGUGGGCGUCUAGUCCACGAAAGCUCCAGGCAAUAACAGGUCUGAGAUGCCCUUAGAUGUUCUGGGCCGCACGCGUGCUACACUGAGCGGGUCAACGGGUGAGGAUGUGCGAGAGCGCUUCCCAAUCUCUAAAUCCGCUCGUGCUGGGGAUCGAGGCUUGCAAUUUUCCCUCUUGAACGAGGAAUACCUUGUAAGCGUGGGUCAUCAUCCCGCGCUGAAUACGUCCCUGCCCUUUGUACACACCGCCCGUCGCUCCUACCGAUUGAGUGGUCCGGUGAGGCCUUGGGAGGGAAAGAUGGACUGUGUUUCACAGACCGUCUGGCCCCAACUUGGUCAAACCUUAUCACUUAGAGGAAGGAGAAGUCGUAACAAGGUUUCCGUAGGUGAACCUGCGGAAGGAUCAUUCGUAGUGGGAUAGUAGGGGUCACAUGGUGUCUGUGUGUAAAAACCAAAAAGCCUGUGAGCCCCUGCUUUUCUAUCAUGUUUCGUGAACACUUUCAAUCCAUAUUUUUUUCUAAUUCAUAACACGAAUCAAUAAACAACCAAAAAAAGUUUUUAUAACCAGACUAAAAACUCGUGACGGUGGAUGUCUUGGCUCCAGCAACGAUGAAGAACGCAGCAAAAUGCGAUACGUAGUGCGAAUUGCAGAACCCGUGAAUCAUCAAAUCUUUGAACGCAAGUUGCGCUCGCGGGCAAUCCUGCGAGCAUGUCUGUUUGAGUGUCCGCACAAAUGCGACUUUUGCUCUUUUCUAAAAAGAGCUGCUGAUGGGCGGCGCAGAUAUCAAAACCCUGUGCGAAGUCCGGACCCUUCGAAAGAGAGGUGCGGUCGCCCGAAGUAGAGAGCGCUGAUUGUCGUGGACUUUUUUGUUCCCCUUUUCUUUUGCCUCUGGCUGGGGCGGAUUUCUGGGUGCGGUCUUUCGAGACUGCUGCCUAACUGAAUACGACCAAGCGUGCGCUGCGAAGUAAUUUUUAUUAGCAGUCCGCAAAAGUCAUGGAAUUAGGAACGCGAAUGUAUUUCGUAACCAGAAUCUGUUUCAUGAAGAAAGGGUGUAUCAAAACCAUGUGCAAGUUAGCCAUAAAAAAACCACUCAUUUGGAUCUCAAAUCAGACAAGACGACCCGCUGAAUUUAAGCAUAUAAUUAAGCGGAGGAAAAGAAACUAACAAGGAUUCCCCUAGUAGCGGCGAGCGAAGCGGGAAGAGCCCAAAAUGAAAAGCCUGCUUGCAGGCGGUUGUAGCUGAGCGUCCUCGGGGUG
rnacentral:rRNA from 1 species